UUUCUUCAAAAGCCAUUAGGGUUUUUUUCCUCUUCCAUUUCAAGAAAAUUCUAGGGUUCAAGAAUCAUUAACAAAAGAAGAUGGAGAAGUUGAACAGCAUUUUCAAGAAGAAGACUUCACCAAAAGAAGCAUUGAGGACCAGCAAAAGGGAAAUGGCUGUUGCUACCAGAGGCAUCGAACGGGAGAUCUCAUCCUUACAAAUGGAGGAGAAAAAGUUAGUUGCAGAGAUCAAGCAAACAGCCAAAACAGGAAACGAGGCAGCCACCAAAAUUCUAGCUCGUCAACUUGUGAGGUUACGGCAACAAAUUGUCAAUUUGCAAGGUAGUCGUGCUCAAAUUAGGGGUGUAGCAACUCA
rnacentral:misc_RNA from 1 species